AAAGUCGGAACUAAUAUCGAUUUUUUUUUGUGUGUUGUAGGCGCAGGCUCGCAACGGAAGAAGAUAGAUAUUGAAGAAUUUUGUGACGAAUUCUGUUUUGAUUUCAUUUUUCUCAUUAUACUUUUCUUUUUCUUUUUCAAUAGAUUGUAUCUUCUUCUUUUUUAACAGAUUGUAUCUUCAUUGUAAAGAAAAUAAGAAAU
rnacentral:lncRNA from 1 species